CUAGCACUCCAUGACCCAUUUCGGGACCGAUGAUGGUUGUACUCCUUGGUGCAGCAUUGACGGCCAAUUCUGAACAAGCCACCUCUUCGCCCAGUCAGUAAGUGUGAUCUAGGAAUCUCCACCAUUGUAGCUGUCAUCAUCUCCAUAGUGGCAGCCAUUUCCGCUGCAGCAACUGCCUCCGUCACUCUACAUCACCAAGUGACAACAGCCACCGCAGUGAAUCAACUAGCUCAAAAUACCACACAAGCCCUCGGAGAAACUGCCCUGCUGUUUCAAGAUGUUCAAGCCGCU
ensembl:lincRNA